AUUUUUUUUUUUUUUUUUCAUGUAUUUUUCAUAAAGAAUAUUAUUGUUUCAGUGUAGUAGGUUGAUUUGGCGAGAGUACUGCAUGUGGCACUGCAAUUCACUCGAAAUUAGUUAACAAAGAAUCUUCACUUGGCAAUGUAGGGCUAACAGUAAGUUUUAGAAAAAAAAAAUUUAUUAGGGUUUGAUUAAGUUAUUAGGACUUGAUUGAAAAGUGUUAUAAAUUGUUUGCAGCUAAUGUAGUUAAUUCUAAUAAAUUUGUGUGAAAAUAGGAGAUUUUAUGGACAAGUUCAUAUUCCUAUACGGUGUAACACUUUGGACUAGAUGAUGCACUGUCUCCCUUCUCUCAAGCAUGUGCACGUUUGGGGUUUAUUAUUUGCAUAUUAGUAAUUGUUGGUUCUGAUAAAUGAGGUUUGGCUGCAGUUAGUCACUGGAUUCAAAAUUCAUUUGGAAGUUAAAUGGAUCGAGG
rnacentral:misc_RNA from 1 species